rnacentral:rRNA from 1 species
GUGCCAGCAGCCGCGGUAAAACGUAGGUCCCGAGCGUCGUUCGGAUUCACUGGGUGUAAAGGGCGCGUAGGUGGUUGUCUGUGUCUCAUGUGAAAACUCAGGGCUCAACUCUGAGAUUGCGUGGGAAACUAGGCAGCUAGAGGACGGUAGAGGGGAGUGGAAUUCCCGGUGUAGCGGUAAAAUGCGUAGAUACCGGGAGGAACACCGGUGGCGAAGGCGACCUUCUGGCCUGUUACUGACGCUGAGGCGCGAAAGCCGGGGGAGCAAACAGGAUUAGAUACCCUGGUAGUCCCGGCCGUAAAAGCUGGGUGCUAGGUGUUGGGGGGUAAAGACCCUUCAGGGCCGAAGCCAACGCGAUAAGCAUCCCACCUGGGGAGUACGGCCGCAAGGUUGAAACUUAAAGAAAUUGACGG